rnacentral:rRNA from 1 species
AUGAACGCUGGCGGCGUGCCUAAUACAUGCAAGUCGAGCGAACAGACGAGGAGCUUGCUCCUCUGACGUUAGCGGCGGACGGGUGAGUAACACGUGGAUAACCUACCUAUAAGACUGGGAUAACUUCGGGAAACCGGAGCUAAUACCGGAUAACAUGUUGAACCGCAUGGUUCAACAGUGAAAGACGGUUUUGCUGUCACUUAUAGAUGGAUCCGCGUCGCAUUAGCUAGUUGGUAAGGUAACGGCUUACCAAGGCAACGAUGCGUAGCCGACCUGAGAGGGUGGACGGCCACACUGGAACUGAGACACGGUCCAGACUCCUACGGGAGGCAGCAGUAGGGAAUCUUCCGCAAAGGGCGAAAGCCUGACGGAGCAACGCCGCGUGAGUGAAGAAGGUCUUCGGAUCGUAAAACUCUGUUAUUAGGGAAGAACAAAUGUGUAAGUAACUAUGCACGUCUUGACGGUACCUAAUCAGAAAGCCACGGCUAACUACGUG